CAGUCGACGGCAGCAUAGGAGCUUGCUCCUGAUGGCGAGUGGCGAACGGGUGAGUAAUAUAUCGGAACGUGCCCUAGAGUGGGGGAUAACUAGUCGAAAGACUAGCUAAUACCGCAUACGAUCUACGGAUGAAAGUGGGGGAUCGCAAGACCUCAUGCUCCUGGAGCGGCCGAUAUCUGAUUAGCUAGUUGGUGGGGUAAAAGCCUACCAAGGCAACGAUCAGUAGCUGGUCUGAGAGGACGACCAGCCACACUGGGACUGAGACACGGCCCAGACUCCUACGGGAGGCAGCAGUGGGGAAUUUUGGACAAUGGGGGCAACCCUGAUCCAGCAAUGCCGCGUGAGUGAAGAAGGCCUUCGGGUUGUAAAGCUCUUUUGUCAGGGAAGAAACGGUAGUAGCGAAUAACUAUUACUAAUGACGGUACCUGAAGAAUAAGCACCGGCUAACUACGUGCCAGCAGCCGCGGUAAUACGUAGGGUGCAAGCGUUAAUCGGAAUUACUGGGCGUAAAGCGUGCGCAGGCGGUUGUGUAAGUCAGAUGUGAAAUCCCCGGGCUCAACCUGGGAAUUG
rnacentral:rRNA from 1 species